rnacentral:rRNA from 1 species
CAGUAGCCACGGGAAUACGUAGGUGGCAAGCGUUGUCCGGAAUUAUUGGGCGUAAAGGGCUCGCAGGCGGUUUCUUAAGUCUGAUGUGAAAGCCCCCGGCUCAACCGGGGAGGGUCAUUGGAAACUGGGAAACUUGAGUGCAGAAGAGGAGAGUGGAAUUCCAUGUGUAGCGGUGAAAUGCGUAGAGAUGUGGAGGAACACCAGUGGCGAAGGCGACUCUCUGGUCUGUAACUGACGCUGAGGAGCGAAAGCGUGGGGAGCGAACAGGAUUAGAUACCCGAGUAGUCCCUGUCUCUUAUAC